GCACGUGGCCUUGACAUUC
rnacentral:snRNA from 1 species